ensembl:lncRNA
GGUGCGGGCCUGCCUGGGCUCCAGGGGUGGGCGGGUGGCCGGCCCCCGGCUGCAUACGCACAACCAAAUUCUGCCUGCGAGAAACUCGGGUUGUGAGUCUCACAAAGCUCACUACCUGCGAGGCGAGGGCGCACCCGCGACACUCCAGUCCUGGACAGCCCUGUGCCCCGCGCUGCCCACGGUGGAACCCAGAAAGGCGCUGGGUCCACGCCAGUUCCAGAGCAGGUCCCGAAGAGGUGCUAGUUCUCUGGACACGGGUCCUCCACCUGGUCUCUACUGACACAGUGACACACACACGGACAGAGGCCUUCCUGCACACGGGACAGCACGCAGACCAGCGCCCUUACAGAAACAGAUCCUCUUUUGUUGCCAGUUCAGGGAGUCCAGGUGGUUGAACAUCAGAGUGUUUCAUCUUAUUUCCCUUUGGGGUUGCGAACCCUGAGGACAAAGUGGUGGAGAGAGAAGCAGGACAGGCAGAGGUGGCUUCAACUCAUUCACAGAGGAAAAGUGUCUCUCUUCUCCAACUGCAGCACCCACUAUGAAGGACGUGACAGCAAGACAAGGUAAGAUUGACACCAAGGAUCUUGACUAGGAGGACUACAAAGCUGGGGCUCCCUUGGAGAGAUGGAGGCUGCUCCCAGUGCCAAAAUAAUUUGCUGUUCUAACAGUUCCUUAAACACAAACAGUGUCUCUUUCAAGGAAGAAGUUAAAAACAGACUGUAACAGCCCAAUUUCUCCAUAACAACCUAGUUUCCAUCUGUUUACCAGCAAACGUUUUCUUCUUGAGCCUGCGAGUCAGAAGAAAAGAUUGAACUCACCUGAGUAUCUUUUUCUGCAUAAAGGAGAAACAAAAAUAAGAAUGAUUGGCCUCUGGAAUUGGGAUUUCCACUUUCACUGCCCUGCUGGCUGAUCUUCAGCCACAACCAGAAACAAUCUUGCAGAUCCUUAUCUAGGCCAAGAACCAAAGUCCCCAAAUCAGCUGCACCAGCAGUGACAGGGAAGGAAGAACAGCAGCCCUGGGGUUAUUGUUCCAUUG